rfam:Vigna angularis cultivar Jingnong 6 chromosome 1, whole genome shotgun sequence.
GGCCUAUUAGCUCAGUUGGUUAGAGCGUGGUGCUAAUAACGCCAAGGUCGCAGGUUCGAGACCUGCAUGGGCCA